ACUCAAAGGAAUUGACGGGGACCCGCACAAGCAGUGGAGUAUGUGGUUUAAUUCGAAGCAACGCGAAGAACCUUACCAGGUCUUGACAUCCCUCUGACCGCUCUAGAGAUAGAGCUUUCCUUCGGGACAGAGGAGACAGGUGGUGCAUGGUUGUCGUCAGCUCGUGUCGUGAGAUGUUGGGUUAAGUCCCGCAACGAGCGCAACCCUUGUCCUUAGUUGCCAGCGAGUAAGGUCGGGCACUCUAAGGAGACUGCCGGUGACAAACCGGAGGAAGGCGGGGAUGACGUCAAAUCAUCAUGCCCCUUAUGACCUGGGCUACACACGUACUACAAUGGCCGGUACAACGGGCAGCGAGAGGGCGACCUUAAGCGAAUCUCAUAAAACCGGUCUCAGUUCGGAUUGCAGGCUGCAACUCGCCUGCAUGAAGUCGGAAUUGCUAGUAAUCGCGGAUCAGCAUGCCGCGGUGAAUACGUUCCCGGGUCUUGUACACACCGCCCGU
rnacentral:rRNA from 1 species